rnacentral:rRNA from 1 species
CUAUACCGGAUGUGCCGAGAGGUGAAAGAUUAAUUGCCUAGAGAUGAGCUCGCGUCUGAUUAGCUAGUUGGUAGUGUAAGAGACUACCAAGGCGACGAUCAGUAGCUGGUCUGAGAGGAUGAUCAGCCACACUGGGACUGAGACACGGCCCAGACUCCUACCGGAGGCAGCAGUGGGGAAUUUUCCGCAAUG